rnacentral:rRNA from 1 species
CCCUUAGAUGUUCUGGGCAGCACGCGCGCUACAAUGGUCUUCGCAAACGGAUGCAUUCUCGAAGGAGAAUGCCAAUCUUGGAAUCUAUGCCUUGGUCGGGACAGUUGCUUGCAAUUUUUCGACUAGAACCAGGAAUUCCUUGUAAUCGUGAUUCAUCACAUCACGAUGAAUACGUCCCUGCCCUUUGUACACACCGCCCGUCGCUCCUACCGAUCGAAGAGUUAGGUGAAUUGUUUUGAUCGAUAAGAUUUGACUAUGGUCAACUCUCGUUGUGAAAUUCUGUGAAUCUGACUGUUUAGAGGAAGGAAAAGUCGUAACA